rnacentral:ncRNA from 1 species
AGAAGAUCAAACUUGAUCAUUUAGAGGAAGUAAAAGUCGUAACAAGGUUUCGUUUAGGUGAACCUGCGGAAGGAUCAUUA